GAGGAUGAGAGAGAGGAUCUGAAUGCUGAGGUGAAAGACAGGUGAGCAGAGCAGAGCAGAGCAGAGCAGAAGCUGAGGAACGAGCAAAGCACUGAGUCCUCUCCUCAGACCUGAACAAUUGAAGGCAACUAAAAACUAAACUCAACUUUGUCUUCAUUUUUCAUUGGAACGAAAGCAUGUUCGUAAAGAUUCCAUCUCACAGACACAGACACUGAUAACAGCCAGAUCGAUCGGGAAUAAUGGAAAACAAAAACGAGUCAUCCAUCUCGACCAAAACCCGAAACUGCAUCGGGUCGGAUCCUAACUCGCCACCCCCAGACCAAGUACUAGAAAUAGUACUAGAAAACGUCCUUCACUUCCUCACCUCACGCCGCGACCGCAACGCCGCCUCAUUGGUCUGCAAAUCAUGGUACCGCGCCGAAGCCCUCACCCGAUCCCACCUCUUCAUCGGCAACUGCUACGCCCUCUCUCCAAUACGCGCCACCUCACGCUUCCCGCGCGUGCGCUCCGUCACCAUCAAAGGGAAACCUCGCUUCGCAGAUUUCGAUCUCAUGCCCCUCAAUUGGGGUGCCCACUUCAGCCCUUGGGCCACCGCAUUCACCACCUCUUACCCUUCCCUUCACCACCUUCACCUCAAACGCAUGUCCCUCACCGAUCACGAUCUCUCUCUCAUCGCUCACUCCUUCCCUUCUUUCACCCAACUCGUUCUCAUCUGUUGCGAAGGCUUCGCCACCGCCGGCCUCGCCGCCGUCGCCGCCAACUGCAGAUUUUUGAGAGUGCUUGAACUUGUAGAAUCUGUGGUUGAGGUUGGUGACGACGAGGAAGAAGUGGAUUGGAUAUCGUGUUUUCCUGAGACUCAGACUCAUUUGGAGUCUCUUGUUUUUGACUGUGUUGAAUGUCCGGUUAAUUUUGAGGCUUUGGAGAGGCUUGUGGCUAGGUCUCCUUCGUUGAAGAAGCUUAGGUUGAAUCGAUAUGUUUCCAUCUCUCAGAUGUACCGUUUGAUGCAUCGAGCGCCGCAUCUCACGCAUCUUGGAACUGGGUCUUUUGGUGCUUCUGAGGUUAUGGCUGUUGGGGAUCAUGAACCUGAUUACGCAUCUGCAUUUGCAGCUUGCAAAUCCUUGGUUUGUUUGUCUGGAUUUAGGGAAAUUUGGCCGGAUUAUCUGCCUGCUAUUUACCCUGUUUGUGCAAAUCUCACAUCUUUGAAUUUCAGCUAUGCUGAUAUCAAUGCAGAUCAGCUCAAAUCAGUGAUUCGCCACUGCCAUAAGCUUAAGACGUUCUGGGUUCUUGAUUCAAUAUGUGAUGAAGGGCUUCAAGCAGUGGCUGCGACUUGCAAAGAUUUGCGGGAGCUUCGAGUUUUCCCUGUUAACACAAGGGAGGAGACAGAAGGUCCUGUUUCUGAGGUGGGGUUUGAGGCAAUUUCUCGAGGUUGUAGGAAAUUGCAAUCAAUUCUGUUUUUCUGCCAGAGAAUGACAAAUGCAGCUGUGGUAGCCAUGUCAAAGAACUGCCCUGAUCUUGCGGUGUUUCGAUUGUGUAUAAUUGGUCGAUAUCGGCCAGACCCCGAGACACUAGAACCCAUGGAUGAGGGUUUUGGUGCCAUUGUUAUGAACUGCAAGCAGCUCACUAGGCUUGCCGUGUCUGGUUUGCUGACUGAUCGAGCUUUUGGUUACAUUGGGAUGUAUGGGAAGUUGAUUAGGACACUGUCAGUUGCCUUUGCUGGAGACACAGACAUGGGCCUCAAGUAUGUGCUAGAAGGAUGCCCCAAGCUGCAAAAGCUUGAAAUCAGGGAUAGUCCAUUUGGCGACAGAGCUCUGCGUUCUGGUUUGCAUCAUUUUUACAACAUGAGGUUCCUCUGGAUGUCGUCCUGCAAAUUGACGCGCCAAGCUUGUCAAGAAGUUGCGCGAAGGUUGCCCCAUCUGGUGUUGGAAGUCAUCAAUAGUGAAGAGGACAAAGUUGAUGAGAUUGAGAUUCUGUACAUGUAUAGGUCUCUUGACAGGCCACGGGACGAUGCUCCAAAAGUUGUUACAAUCCUUCGUUAGUCUUCUGAAGCUCACCUUAGAAUAGUGGCUGCCAAGUGAAAUUAUAUAGCAGGGAUUUUUAAAUAAACCUGCAGGAGAUCAAAACAAGUUCAGCUAACAACUGCUGUUUUUGGCCAGAGUUACUGUGAUUGCAGGCCAUAAAGAUGCUUAUUCUGGGGCAAAGCAUUUCCAAUUCUGCAUUCUUGUUUGGGGAUGAGAACUUGGGUUCUGGAGGGGAAGAGUUAAUGUUAGAUAGGGGAGGAAUGAUGCAGAAGAUUAAACGAAAAAUCCCGCAGAGUUGGGGAAGGUAGAGGAGAUUGCUGAAGCUGCCCUGAGGAUUUGUUAGUGUUACUCGUCUCCUUGAUCAGAUAAAUGGGUCUAUUCUAUUGAGAAGCAGACUCAGAAAGAUCAAAGCAACGGAAAUUUUGGAGGUGACAUUCUCUAACUCCUCCACCGUAGCAGUAGAAAAGCAAAAGCAUUCCCUUUGUAAGGACUUAGUCUGUGUAUUUUGAUUCAGAUGAUAGAUAGUUUAAGCUUAGGUGGCGAGAGUCCAAAUACCAGACUGGUACAAGCUUAUCUGCUUUCCCCUUAUCUCACCGUUUGUUUUCUUAGAUGUGUUUCUGUGGCUUCUGACUUUUGAGUUUAUUUUUAAGUUAACAUGGUGACAUGGUUAAUAAAUGCCAGAAAAUGCAUGGACC